rnacentral:miRNA from 1 species
UUCCUGUCUGCUCUGAAUGUAGC